GACGAACGCUGGCGGCGUGCUUAACACAUGCAAGUCGAACGGAAAGGCCCUGCUUUUGUGGGGUGCUCGAGUGGCGAACGGGUGAGUAACACGUGAGUAACCUGCCCUUGACUUUGUGAUAACUUCAGGAAACUGGGGCUCAUACCGGAUAGGAGCUCCUGCUGCAUGGUGGGGGUUGGAAAGUUUCGGCGGUUGGGGAUGGACUCGCGGCUUAUCAGCUUGUUGGUGGGGUAGUGGCUUACCAAGGCUUCGACGGGUAGCCGGCCUGAGAGGGUGACCGGCCACAUUGGGACUGAGAUACGGCCCAGACUCCUACGGGAGGCAGCAGUGGGGAAUAUUGCACAAUGGGCGGAAGCCUGAUGCAGCAACGCCGCGUGCGGGAUGCCGGCCUUCGGGUUGUAAACCGCUUUCGCCUGUGACGAAGCGUGAGUGACGGUAAUGGGUAAAGAAGCACCGGCUAACUACGUG
rnacentral:rRNA from 1 species